UUGACCUCGGAUCAGGUAGGAAGACCCGCUGAACUUAAGCAUAUCAAUAAGCGGAGGAAAAGAAACCAACAGGGAUUGCCCUAGUAACGGCGAGUGAAGCGGCAACAGCUCAAAUUUGAAAUCUGGCUUCGGCCCGAGUUGUAAUUUGCAGAGGAAGCUUUAGGCGCGGCACCUUCUGAGUCCCCUGGAACGGGGCGCCAUAGAGGGUGAGAGCCCCGUAUAGUUGGAUGCCUAGCCUGUGUAAAGCUCCUUCGACGAGUCGAGUAGUUUGGGAAUGCUGCUCAAAAUGGGAGGUAAAUUUCUUCUAAAGCUAAAUACCGGCCAGAGACCGAUAGCGCACAAGUAGAGUGAUCGAAAGAUGAAAAGCACUUUGAAAAGAGGGUUAAAUAGCACGUGAAAUUGUUGAAAGGGAAGCGCUUGUGACCAGACUUGCGCCGGGCAGAUCAUCCGGUGUUCUCACCGGUGCACUCUGCCCGGCUCAGGCCAGCAUCGGUUCUCGCGGGGGGAUAAAGGCCCUGGGAACGUAGCUCCUCCGGGAGUGUUAUAGCCCGGGGCGUAAUGCCCUCGCGGGGACCGAGGUUCGCGCAUCUGCAAGGAUGCUGGCGUAAUGGUCAUCAGCGAC
rnacentral:rRNA from 2 species